GAUGAAGAACGCAGCGAAAUGCGAUAAGUAGUGUGAAUUGCAGAAUUCAGUGAAUCAUCGAAUCUUUGAACGCACAUUGCGCCCCUUGGUAUUCCGAGGGGCAUGCCUGUUCGAGCGUCAUAUUAACCACUCCCGCUUGCGGGGUCUUGGGCUUCGCCUCCGGGCGGGCCUUAAAAUCAGUGGCGGUGCCGUCGGGCUCUACGCGUAGUAAAUUUUCUCGCGAUAGGGUCCCGGUGGAUGCUUGCCAACAACCCCCAACUUCUUAAGGUUGACCUCGGAUCAGGUAGGGAUACCCGCUGAACUUAAGCAUAUCAAUAAGCGGGGA
rnacentral:misc_RNA from 1 species